rnacentral:rRNA from 1 species
AGAACGAACGCUGGCGGCAGGCUUAACACAUGCAAGUCGAACGCUCGUCUUCGGACGGGAGUGGCAGACGGGUGAGUAACGCGUGGGAACGUACCUUUCGGUUCGGAAUAACCCAGGGAAACUUGGGCUAAUACCGGAUACGCCGGAAACGGGAAAGAUUUAUUGCUGAAGGAUCGGCCCGCGUCGGAUUAGCUAGUUGGUGGGGUAAUGGCCCACCAAGGCAACGAUCCGUAGCUGGUCUGAGAGGAUGAUCAGCCACACUGGGACUGAGACACGGCCCAGACUCCUACGGGAGGCAGCAGUGGGGAAUAUGGUCAAUGGGCGCAAGCCUGAACCAGCCAUGCCGCGUGAGUGAAGAAGGCCUUAGGGUUGUAAAGCUCUUUCAGCGGGACGAUAAUGACGGUACCCGCAGAAGAAGCCCCGGCUAACUUCGUGCCAGCAGCCGC